UUAGUACGGCGAGUGAAGCGGUAAAAGCUCAAAUUUGAAAUCUGGUACUUUCAGUGCCCGAGUUGUAAUUUGUAGAAUUUGUCUUUGAUUAGGUCCUUGUCUAUGUUCCUUGGAACAGGACGUCAUAGAGGGUGAGAAUCCCGUUUGGCGAGGAUACCUUUUCUCUGUAAGACUUUUUCGAAGAGUCGAGUUGUUUGGGAAUGCAGCUCAAAGUGGGUGGUAAAUUCCAUCUAAAGCUAAAUAUUGGCGAGAGACCGAUAGCGAACAAGUACAGUGAUGGAAAGAUGAAAAGAACUUUGAAAAGAGAGUGAAAAAGUACGUGAAAUUGUUGAAAGGGAAGGGCAUUUGAUCAGACAUGGUGUUUUUUGCAUGCACUCGCCUCUCGUGGGCUUGGGCCUCUCAAAAAUUUCACUGGGCCAACAUCAAUUCUGGCAGCAGGAUAAAUCAUUAAGAAUGUAGCUACUUCGGUAGUGUUAUAGCUUUUUGGAAUACUGUUAGCCGGGAUUGAGGACUGCGCUUCGGCAAGGAUGUUGGCAUAAUGGUUAAAUGCCGCCCGUCUUGAAC
rnacentral:rRNA from 1 species